rnacentral:sRNA from 1 species
GCCAGGCGCAGUGGUGCAUGCCUGUAAUCCCACCAAUUGGGAGGCUGAGGCAGGAGGAUCAUGAGUUCAAAGCCAGCCUCAGCAACUUAGUGAGGCCCUAAGCAACUCAGCAAGACCCUGUCUCUA